UUUACACUCCAACCCCAUGUGAACCUUACCUAUUGUUGCUUCGGCGGGACCGCCCCGGCGCCUCCGUCGCCCGGACCCAGGCGCCCGCCGAAGGCCCCUAAACUCUUGUUUUUUUGGUGGCAUUAUCUGAGUGGCGCAAGCAAAUAAAAUCAAAACUCUCAACAACGGAUCUCUUGGUUCUGGCAUCGAUGAAGAACGCAGCGAAAUGCGAUAAGUAAUGUGAAUUGCAGAAUUCAGUGAAUCAUCGAAUCUUUGAACGCACAUUGCGCCCGCUAGUAUUCUAGCGGGCAUGCCUGUUCGAGCGUCAUUUCAACCCUCAAGCCCCCUCGGGCUUGGUGUUGGGGAUCGGCCGCGGCGACUGUCGCGGGCGGCCGGCCCCGAAAUCUAGUGGCGGUCUCGCUGUAGCCUCCUCUGCGUAGUAGCAACACCUCGCCCUGGAAGACAGCGCGGCCACGCCGUAAAACCCCCCAAGUUUUACUGAAGGUUGACCUCGGAUCAGGUAGGAAUACCCGCUGAACUUAAGCAUAUCAUA
rnacentral:rRNA from 1 species